AAGGAAAAUAGGGGUUUUGGUAUCUUUUUGCUUUUGGAGAAAAGUUGAUGGAUGAUUAAUCUCAGAGGGAUCUUUACAAGGUACUGAUUGACUUGUUCCUUUCUUGCGAUGAUUUUGUAUAGAUUCUCUUUUAGAAAGGUUGUUUUGGGGGGAUUCUUCCUUUGUAAAGGUAUCUUUGGUGCUCGAGAUGGAUGAGAAUGAGCAAGAAAAAAAGGUUUGGGGAGUUUUCUCAGAAAAGUUUUGGUUUUUAAUCUUCUUGUUAUCUGAAUCAGGUGAUGAAUCUUCUGAGAAGGACACGCAUGGUUUAUGUUGUGUCUUUUGAGGUUGCUUUUCAGAGCAGUUAGGGUAUAGAAAUGAAUUAGGCAGGGAUGUUGUCGAGGUGGAGGGUUUCUGAUUGGUGGUUGGUGGCGGUGUUUGAUCACCCAUUGGGGAGAAACGGAGGUGGCGACAGGUAAAGAGAAUAAAGAAACCUCAGUAAUUCAGACGCAGUGUUGUCUAGAAGGAAGAGCAGAUUUCCAAUUGUGUUUCCCAAAUUGUUAAGGAUCUUUGGUGGAAUCUUGAGUGGGCCUUUAUCGAUUGGGUGUUGAUCUUCAUUUCAUAGAAGCAAGAACUGUGUUGAUAUCAGGCGGUAAUUGAAGAUGGGAAGAAGGUCAGGUGUUAAGAUGACAAGUUCCAUUCAUCGAGUCAGAUAUGGAGAAAUAUCAGGAACAAGACUCAAGAUCAUACUUCUCAUGUGCUUGCAAGGUUUGGCCACAUUUCAUUCCUCAGGGGACUGAUGAGAAAUGACACCAAUCUUAGUACUAGCCUAGUGUUUGUAGCUAGCUGUAGAGGCCCGAACGGAUGAAUGUAUUCACUCUGCAACAGUCUGCAAGGAGAUGCUGCCAAGGAACGAGACUAGUCCACAUGGAGAGCAAUCACUGAACUGAAUGCACUUUAGGAAUGAAGCCACUGGACUGUCAAGGAUGGGAAGUGGAAACAUUAGCUUGUUGAAACAAUCCUUAGGUACCAAGUCAAUCACUAGCCCGUGCUGUCAAAGCUUGGCGACGUUCCACCAGAAAAGUCCUACACCGGAAAAACUACUACGGUUAUUGCUUGUAUAAUCUGUAUUUGAUAACAAAAUAGAAUUUCCGUGAUUGAUGUAUAAUUUUUCUAUUCGACA